UGCUGGCUUUGGCAGCAUUAUACUAAAAUUGGAACUGUAUAGAAAACAUUAGCAUGGCCUCUGGGCAAGGAUGACAUGCAAAUUUAUGAAGAACAUAAGGAUAUA
rnacentral:snRNA from 1 species